AUUGAACGCUGGCGGCAGGCCUAACACAUGCAAGUCGAGCGGAUGAAGGGAGCUUGCUCCUGGAUUCAGCGGCGGACGGGUGAGUAAUGCCUAGGAAUCUGCCUGGUAGUGGGGGAUAACGUCCGGAAACGGGCGCUAAUACCGCAUACGUCCUGAGGGAGAAAGUGGGGGAUCUUCGGACCUCACGCUAUCAGAUGAGCCUAGGUCGGAUUAGCUAGUUGGUGGGGUAAAGGCCUACCAAGGCGACGAUCCGUAACUGGUCUGAGAGGGUGAUCAGUCACAGUGUAAAUGAGACACGGACGAGAGUCCGACGGAAGGAGCAAGUCGGGAGUUGUGAGGAAUGGGCGCAUGCCUGACGGAGCAAUGCAGAGGGAGAGAUGAAGGUAUUCUGAUCGUAAAACGAUUUUAUUAGGGAAAAACAAAUGUGUACGUAACUAUGCACGUCUUGAGGGUAGCUAAUCAGAAGGCAAGGGCUAGCUACGUG
rnacentral:rRNA from 1 species